GCCGGCGUAGCUCAGUUAGUUAGAGCGUGGGAUUCAUAAACCCAAGGUCCCAGGUGCAACUCCUGGCGUCGGCACAA
rnacentral:tRNA from 1 species